GACGAACGCUGGCGGCGUGCUUAACACAUGCAAGUCGAACGGAAAGGCCCUGCUUUUGUGGGGUGCUCGAGUGGCGAACGGGUGAGUAACACGUGAGUAACCUGCCCUUGACUUUGGGAUAACUUCAGGAAACUGGGGCUAAUACCGGAUAGGAGCUCCUGCUGCAUGGUGGGGGUUGGAAAGUUUCGGCGGGGGGGGAUGGACUCGCGCCUUAUCAGCUUGUUGGUGGGGUAGUGGCUUACCAAGGCUUUGACGGGUAGCCGGCCUGAGAGGGUGACCGGCCACCUUGGGCCUGAGAUACGGCCCAGACUCCUACGGGAGGCAGCAGUGGGAAAUAUUGCACAAUGGGCGGAAGCCUGAUGCAGCGACGCCGCGUGCGGGAUGACGGCCUUCGGGUUGUAAACCGCUUUCGCCUGUGACGAAGCGUGAGUGACGGUAAUGGGUAAAGAAGCACCGGCUAACUACGUG
rnacentral:rRNA from 1 species